AUAGGGAGGGCAGGUAGAUUCAGAUAGACAUGCUCACUUCUCAUCACCUUCCUAGGAAUUUCCUUGCAUUUCACACCACCAUAUCACCAUUUUCUUUGAACCUAUACAGUGUUUGUCUUAUAGGGACAAAUCUCUUCUUCUUAUUAUUUUUCAUUUCGAUCUCUCUUCUUUCUCCUCGAUCCAAAGGCUAGAAUUUCUUCAUCUGCUUUAUCUGAUCCUAUACAAUUUUUUUUUUUUUUUU
rnacentral:misc_RNA from 1 species